rnacentral:rRNA from 1 species
GGGUUGUGAGGUUAAGCGACUAAGCGUACACGGUGGAUGCCCUGGCAGUCAGAGGCGAUGAAGGACGUGCUAAUCUGCGAUAAGCGUCGGUAAGGUGAUAUGAACCGUUAUAACCGGCGAUUUCCGAAUGGGGAAACCCAGUGUGAUUCGUCACACUAUCAUUAACUGAAUCCAUAGGUUAAUGAGGCGAACCGGGGGAACUGAAACAUCUAAGUACCCCGAGGAAAAGAAAUCAACCGAGAUUCCCCCAGUAGCGGCGAGCGAACGGGGAGCAGCCCAGAGCCUGAAUCAGUGUGUGUGUUAGUGGAAGCGUCUGGAAAGGCGCGCGAUACAGGGUGACAGCCCCGUACACAAAAAUGCACAUGCUGUGAGCUCGAUGAGUAGGGCGGGACACGUGGUAUCCUGUCUGAAUAUGGGGGGACCAUCCUCCAAGGCUAAAUACUCCUGACUGACCGAUAGUGAACCAGUACCGUGAG